rnacentral:rRNA from 1 species
AUUGCUACAUCUUUCUUGUGACGCUACAAUUCGAGCGGUACAGGUCCAGCUUGCUGGAUGCUGACGAGCGGCGGACGGGUGAGUAAUGCAUAGGAAUCUGCCCGGUAGUGGGGGAUAACCUGGGGAAACCCAGGCUAAUACCGCAUACGUCCUACGGGAGAAAGGGGGCUUUGGCUCCCGCUAUUGGAUGAGCCUAUGUCGGAUUAGCUGGUUGGUGAGGUAACGGCUCACCAAGGCGACGAUCCGUAGCUGGUCUGAGAGGAUGAUCAGCCACAUCGGGACUGAGACACGGCCCGAACUCCUACGGGAGGCAGCAGUGGGGAAUAUUGGACAAUGGGGGCAACCCUGAUCCAGCCAUGCCGCGUGUGUGAAGAAGGCCCUCGGGUUGUAAAGCACUUUCAGCGAGGAAGAACGCCUGGCGGUUAAUACCCGCCAGGAAAGACAUCACUCGCAGAAGAAGCACCGGCUAACUCCGUGCCAGCAGCCGCGGUAAUACGGAGGGUGCAAGCGUUAAUCGGAAUUACUGGGCGUAAAGCGCGCGUAGGUGGCUUGAUAAGCCGGUUGUGAAAGCCCCGGGCUCAACCUGGGAACGGCAUCCGGAACUGUCAUGCUAGAGUGCAGGAGAGGAAGGUAGAAUUCCCGGUGUAGCGGUGAAAUGCGUACAGAUCGGGAGGAAUACCAGUGGCGAAGGCGGCCUUCUGGACUGACACUGACACUGAGGUGCGAAAGCAUGUGGUAGUCAUACAGGAUUAGAUACCCUGCUAGUCCGCGGCCGUAAACGAUGUCGAACCAGCCGUUGGGUGCCGUAGUACCCACUCUGUGACCGAAGUUAACGCAAUAAGUCGACCGACAUGAUGAGUAUCGUGCCGCCCAUGCUUUAAACUCUAGAAUGGAAUUUGACUGAGUAGUACCUGUC